rnacentral:sRNA from 1 species
ACUGCGUUUUGAGUCUCGAGACCCCUGUCGGAGAGACUAUGGCGCUCAACAAGAAUCACUCGGAGGGCGGCGGAGUGAUCGUCAAUAACACCGAGAGGUGAAAACACUGCGGAAGGAUUCUGGAGGACCAAAGUUCGGGUGUCGAGGAAGUGGGCGCAUCCUAAUGUCCUAUGAUCAUGUGGAACUCACAUUCAAUGACAUGAAGAACGUGCCAGAAGCCUUCAAAGGGACCAAGAAAGGCACCGUCUACCUUACCCCUUACCGGGUCAUCUUUCUGUCCAAGGGCAAGGAUGCCAUGCAGUCCUUCAUGAUGCCAUUUUAUCUCAUGAAAGACUGUGAGAUCAAGCAGCCCGUAUUUGGUGCAAACUACAUCAAGGGAACAGUGAAGGCGGAAGCGGGAGGUGGCUGGGAAGGUUCUGCUUCCUACAAGUUGACUUUCACGGCAGGGGGCGCCAUUGAGUUCGGACAGCGGAUGCUCCAGGUGGCAUCUCAAGGUAUCCAAGCUCCGAAGAUUAGGGGCUAAGGACAUACUGAACAUGUAGGGGUUUGGUUUGAGU